GACGAACCGUGCGAACGUUGUUCGGAUUCACUGGGCUUAAAGGGCGCGUAGGCGGCUUGCCAAGUCAGGGGUGAAAUCUUUCGGCUCAACCGGAAAAGUGCUUCUGAUACUGGCAGGCUGGAGGGAGGUAGGGGCAGAUGGAACUUCCGGUGGAGCGGUGAAAUGCGUUGAUAUCGGAAGGAACGCCGGUGGCGAAAGCGACGGACUGGAUCUCUUCUGACGCUGAGGCGCGAAAGCCAGGGGAGCAAACGGG
rnacentral:rRNA from 1 species